rnacentral:rRNA from 1 species
UACGAACCGGACAAACGUUACUCGGCAUCACGGGGCUUAAAGGGUGCGUGGGCGGAGCGGAGGGUGGGAUGUGAAAUCCCCCGGCUCAACCGGGGAAUAGCGUCCCAAACCGCCGUGCUGGAGGAAGACAGGGGUGAGCGGAACUGAUGGUGGAGCGGUGAAAUGCGUUGAUAUCAUCAGGAACACCAGUGGCGAAGGCGGCUCACUGGGUCUUUCCUAACGCUGAGGCACGAAAGCUAGGGGAGCGAACGGG